GAUCCUGGCUCAGGAUGAACGCUGGCGGCGUGCUUAACACAUGCAAGUCGAGCGAAGCGCUUAAGUUUGAUUCUUUGGAUGAAGACUUUUGUGACUGAGCGGCGACGGGGUGAAGGUAACGCGUGGGUAACCUGCCUCAUACAGGGGGAUAACAGUUAGAAAUGACUGCUAAUACCGCAUAAGACCACGGUACCGCAUGGUACAGUGGUAAAAACUACCGGUGGUAUGAGAUGGACCGCGU
rnacentral:rRNA from 1 species